UAGUUAAUGUAAUAACACGGGUUAAUGUAACAACACCGGUUAAUGUAAUAACACGGGUUAAUGUAAUAACACUAGUUAAUGUAAUAACACUAGUUAAUGUAACAACACGGGUUAAUGUAAUAACACUAGUUAAUGUAAUAACAUUAGUUAAUGUAAUAACACUAGUUAAUGUAAUAACACUAGUUAAUGUAAUAACAUUAGUUAAUGUAAUAACACUAGUUAAUGUAAUAACACUAGUUAAUGUAAUAACACUAGUUAAUGUAAUAACACUAGUUAAUGUAACAACACCGGUUAAUGUAAUAACACUAGUUAAUGUAAUAACACUAGUUAAUGUAAUAACACUAGUUAAUGUAAUAACACUAGUUAAUGUAACAACACGGGUUAAUGUAACAACACCGGUUAAUGUAAUAACACGGCUUAAUGUAAUAACACCGGUUAAUGUAAUAACACUAGUUAAUGUAAUAACACUAGUUAAUGUAAUAACACCGGUUAAUGUAAUAACACUAGUUAAUGUAAUAACACUGGUUAAUGUAAUAACACUGGUUAAUGUACUAACACCGGUUAAUGUAAUAACACCAGUUAAUGUAAUAAAAUGUUUUUUUUAAUUUUUAAUUUUACCUUUAUUUAACCAGGCAAGUCAGUUAAGAACAUAUUCUUAUUUUCAAUGACGGCCUGGGAACAGUGGGUUAACUGCCUGUUCAGGGGCAGAACGACAGAUUUGUACCUUGUCAGCUCGGGGGUUUGAACUCGCAACCUUCCGGUUACUAGUCCAACGCUCUAACCACUAGGCUAAUGUAAUAACACUGGUUAAUGUAAUAACACCGGUUAAUGUAAUAACACCAGUUAAUGUAAUAAAAUGGGUUAAUGUAAUAACACUGGUUAAUGUAAUAACACCGGUUAAUGUAACAACACUGGUUAAUGUAAUAAAAUGGGUUAAUGUAAUAACACGGGUUAAUGUAAUAAAAUGGGUUAAUGUAAUAACACGGGUUAAUGUAAUAAAAUGGGUUAAUGUAAUAACACUGGUUAAUGUAAUAACACCAGUUAAUCUUUUAUCAGAAAAAAGCGUUGUUAAAAAUGUCAUGUGUCCAGCCUUCUACUAGUGAUGCUCCUAACAUUUCCUGUUCUGUUUUAGUGGACUCUCUGCCACAGAGGCUUCCCCAAGCAACAGAAGUUGCAACAGAGGCUGAAAGGGAAAUGGCCGAAAUUGCACAGUCUAACAGGGCAUAGCAGGAAAGUGGCGAUGGAACUGCUGUUGGUCAACUUGUGCAGAUCAAUAGGUACUUCCUCAGUUUGUAACAGUGCAAUAUUGUUAGAUCAAUGAAUAUAAUUCAUCUCCCUGGUAAAAGUAUUUAGAACCUUUCCGAUGACCGAAAAGGCGUGGAGAGGAAGAACAGCAUCCCCCAUCGAUGGUGCCCCACCAGCAGUCGCUUCAACUCAUAUCAGUUCUAUGAUAUUUCUCGGUGGGCAAACACAAUAAUACAUUUUAUUCUUUGCUGUUUCUGAACUUGUUUCGGUUGGUAAUGGUCUAUUGUCGGAUGGUAAUAGAGUAAUUGUAUAGCAGCUCUUGUCAUUUUUCAAUGUUUUGCCUUUGUCUAUUUGUUGUGUGUUUCUUGUUUAUUGAACAUGUCCAUUCUGUUUUAAUGUAUGUCAUUGUAUUCCUGUCCUUUGUUUAAAAUGUAAGUAUCUGUGGACAUUUCUGUUUAAUUGUUAAAUGUGAGCCUGGUAUAUCCCAACCUAAGUCUAAUGGAAUAGACAGGUUUGCUUCUUCCAAGGUAUUGUGUUUUCAUUGACCUGUUAGUUGUGGAGUUUGUAUAUCAAUUUAGAUACUUUUGUAAAUAUUGUCAUUUGAACAUCUAUAUCACCAUUGUCAUCUUUAAAUAAAGUAAUUACUUCUACACCUGA